rnacentral:rRNA from 1 species
UGAGGAAUAUUGGUCAAUGGGCGCAAGCCUGAACCAGCCAAGUAGCGUGCAGGAAGACGGCCCUAUGGGUUGUAAACUGCUUUUAUACGAGAAUAAUUUGAUGCACGUGUGCGUUAUUGCAUGUAUCGUAUGAAUAAGGACCGGCUAAUUCCGUGCCAGCAGCCGCGGUAAUACGGAAGGUCCAGGCGUUAUCCGGAUUUAUUGGGUUUAAAGGGAGUGUAGGCGGUUUGUUAAGCGUGUUGUGAAAUUUAGGUGCUCAACAUUUAACUUGCAGCGCGAACUGUCAGACUUGAGUACACGCAACGUAUGCGGAAUUCAUGGUGUAGCGGUGAAAUGCUUAGAUAUCAUGAAGAACUCCGAUUGCGAAGGCAGCAUACGGGAGUGUAACUGACGCUUAAGCUCGAAGGUGCGGGUAUCGAACAGGAUUAGAUACCCUGGUAGUCCGCACAGUAAACGAUGGAUGCCCGCUGUUAGCGCCUGGCGUUAGCGGCUAAGCGAAAGCAUUAAGCAUCCCACCUGGGGAGUACGCCGGCAANGGGUG